GCCGAGGUGGAGGAAUUGGCAGACUCGCAAGCUUGAGGUGCUUGUGGCUGUUAAGGCCGUGCGGGUUCAAAUCCCGCCCUCGGCA
rnacentral:tRNA from 1 species